ensembl:lncRNA
GCAGGUAGUGUAGACAAAGCAGGUAGGGUAGACAGAGACAGUGUUUGGUGGACAGAGCAGGUAGGGUAGACCGAGCAGGUAGGGUAGACAUAGCAGGUAGUGUAGACAGAGCAGGUAGGGUAGACAGAGCAGGUAGGGUGGACAGAGCAGGUAGGGUAGACAGAGACAGAGCAGGUAGGGUAGACAGAGCAGGUAGGGUAGACAGAGCAGGUAGUGUAGACAGAGCAGGUAGGGUAGACAUAGCAGGUAGUGUAGACAGAGCAGGUAGGGUAGACAGAGCAGGUAGUGUAGACAGAGCAGGUAGGGUUGACAGAGCAGGUAGGGUAGACAGAGCAGGUAGGGUAGACAGAGACAGAGCAGGUAGGGUGGACAUAGCAGGUAGGGUAGACAGAGCAGGUAGUGUAGACAGAGCAGGUAGGGUAGAC